AACGAACGCUGGCGGCAUGCCUAACACAUGCAAGUCGAACGAGACCUUCGGGUCUAGUGGCGCACGGGUGCGUAACGCGUGGGAACCUGCCCUUAGGUUCGGAAUAACUCCCCGAAAGGGGUGCUAAUACCGGAUAAUGUCUUCGGACCAAAGAUUUAUCGCCUUUGGAUGGGCCCGCGUUGGAUUAGCUAGUUGGUAGGGUAAAAGCCUACCAAGGCGACGAUCCAUAGCUGGUCUGAGAGGAUGAUCAGCCACACUGGGACUGAGACACGGCCCAGAAUCCUACGGGAGGCAGCAGUGGGGAAUAUUGGACAAUGGGCGAAAGGCUGAUCCAGCAAUGCCGCGUGAGUGAUGAAGGCCUUAGGGUUGUAAAGCUCUUUUACCCGGGAUGAUAAUGACAGUACCGGGAGAAUAAGCUCCGGCUAACUCCGUG
rnacentral:rRNA from 1 species